GUGACCUUGCUGGCCUCCUGGGACACUCCAGGGACCACUGUGACUGCCCCCAUAAUGGAGAGGCUCUGGGCCAAGUCUGAUGCACUCAUCGAGAUUGUGGGAUGUUCCCUCGAAUGCUGCUGCUCUUGAUUCCCGGAAACAGAGGAUCUGGGGCCAUAAAGGAGUCCAUCCAUGGCUUCUCCUUUGAGACCCACUGAGACAGAAAUUCUGGCUUGGAGUCCACAGUUCAUGCCUCCACACCCAAGGACGGCCACAACCAGAGCCACGGCCACAGCCACAUGACAUCCCUGUCUGGAGUCACAGCUGGGCCUCACUCUGAACUGGCUUCUAGGUAAUAAGCCACCCUGCAUUAUACUGAAUGGUAUCAACAGGGUUAUGCCUGGUAUCCAAAGUGAUGGUGGAUAUGUUGAAAGCAAACAUUCCUGAAAUUAAAUGUGCUACAACUUGA